UACGUAGGUGGCAAGCGUUGUCCGGAUUUACUGGGCGUAAAGAGCGCGCAGGCGGUCGUUCAAGUCGCGUGUGAAAGCCCCCGGCUCAACUGGGGAGGGUCACGCGAUACUGAUCGACUCGAAGGCAGGAGAGGGUAGUGGAAUUCCCGGUGUAGUGGGUGAAAUGCGUAGAUAUCGGGAGGAACACCAGUGGCGAAGGCGACUACCUGGCCUGUUCUUGACGCUGAGGCGCGAAAGCUAGGGGAGCAACGGG
rnacentral:rRNA from 1 species